GACGAACCGUGCGAACGUUGUUCGGAAUCACUGGGUUUAAAGGGCGCGUAGGCGGGCUGUCAAGUCGGUGGUGAAAUCUUUCGGCUCAACCGGAAAAUCGCCUUCGAUACUGGCGGCCUUGAGGGAGGUAGGGGCAUGCGGAACUUCCGGUGGAGCGGUGAAAUGCGUAGAUAUCGGAAGGAACGCCGGUGGCGAAAGCGGUCUGCUGGACCUCUUCUGACGCUGAGGCGCGAAAGCCAGGGGAGCAAACGGGG
rnacentral:rRNA from 1 species